GACCAUAUUACUCUUGGCCGAUCCCCUUAAGUGGGUAGGUGCCAAUCUUCCUAGGAGCAUCAUCAUCAAAAGUGUGAACCAUUGUUGGUGUUUCAUCUGACAUGAACGUGGCCCGCGUGCCCGUUACGUGAGCGGGCGCAGAAGCGCGUGAAUCGGCCGGCGGCCAGCUGUGGCCGCUCGCGGCUGCGCUCCUCUCGGUACUGGUGAGCCGUUGGUCUGGGCUGAGUGCCCCCGAGAAAUGCUCUUCGGAUUAAAUGCGGUUUCAGCACAGGUCCUGUUUACGCUACUCCUCAAGCUUGCUUUGAUACUGUUCAAGCUCUUCGCGAGAAGAGGUAAGUCCUUUCCGGCAAAGCGGCCGGAGUUUGACGCUGCGCUAUCCCCGCCUUUUCUAUCAGGUAGGGUGUACACUGCCGUUGAGACGGAGGAAAUCUUGAGCAGUUUCAUCAGAGUGUUGAUCCUGCUGAUGUCUUACAGUCUCGUAAGUCACCUGAAAUCGUUGUCUGAAGGACACAGCACCGGACGAAGACUCGUAUUUUCAAGCUGAGAAGAUGUACGUAGAAGACUCAACAGUAGGAGUGUUUGCAAUUGCAGCUAUCAUGCUCAGGAUACAGUCCAAUCUCUGCUUAAUAUAUGGCAAGCUCGAUGAUGAAGAACGUAAUCGGUAUGUCAAUCUCAGCGCACUUGCUGGCACAUUGUGCGAAUUUUUUGGACUAAUGUACCUGUUGGAUUUCGUUACCUCCAAGCAAACUGAAUCGCUGAGCAUUCUGCAGUGCAUUGUACCUCGAAUGACCUCUGUUCAUCCCACUUCAUAAAGUGUGGUAGUUCCGGCCAACCAGUAGCUGCAGGAGCUGAAGCCACUGCAAAUGUUCAUCUACGACAAGAUAAUCUACAGAUGGCUCAAACUCUCUCUUGCGCUGAACGUUGCGCUGCUCUUAAUCACAGCUAAGUGUUGCCAAUCACGUCCUUUGAAAGUGUUCCACAGUUUUGCAGCCAGGAUAUCGGGCUACCUGACCGUGCUUGCAUUAUUUGGGGAGUUCAGCGAAGAGUUUGAAGAACUGGAGUGCGCUAGAUGAAUCAACUAGGAGCAGCACAAACUUGGUAAGUUGC